rnacentral:rRNA from 1 species
UACUAGAGUAGCACUCGCAUAUCAAUAAGCGGAGGAAAAGAAACUAACAAGGAUUCCCCUAGUAACGGCGAGCGAAGCGGGAAGAGCUCAAAUUUGAAAUCUUAAAGGGUUUCCCUUUACGAAUUGUAGUUUAAAGAAGUGUUUUCUGUUGAGGUUUUGGUAAAAGUUCUUUGGAAUAGGACAUCAUAGAGGGUGAGAAUCCCGUAUUUGACCUUUACUUUCAACUUUGUGAUACACUUUCAAAGAGUCGGAUUGUUUGGGAAUGCAGUCCAAAAUGGGUGGUAAAUUUCAUCUAAAGCUAAAUAUUGGCGAGAGACCGAUAGCGAACAAGUACCGUGAGGGAAAGAUGAAAAGAACUUUGAAAAGAGAGUUAAACAGUACGUGAAAUUGUCAAAAGGGAAGCGUUUGACACCAGUGUUGUUUUUCUGAAAAUCAAUUAAAGAACUGUUUAUGCUAAGUUGUUUAGACUUUAUCAGCUAACUGUUUAGUGUUGAGCUUUUCUUUAAUGCACUUUUCAGUUAACAAGUCAACAUCAAUUUCUUUUGCUGUAAAAAAGCUUGAGGAAGGUGGCUUGAGAUUCGUCUUAAGUGUUUAUAGCCUCUUGCCUAUGCAGUCGGAGAGAUUGAGGUCUGCAGCGUAGAUCCUUCGAGGCUAAAUGCAUUUGUGCUAAGUUAUAGCAUUUUAUAGACAACUUGUUGACUAUGAUUUGUCUUGUAGCUUACUCGCUUAUGUUAUUUUACCUACGCUUAGGAUGUUGAGCGCAUGUCUCUCUCU